GGGGCUGAGGUGGCUCAGUGGCAGAGAAUCUGCUUGGCAUGCUGAAAGUCUUGAGUUCAAUUCCAAGCGUCUCCA
rnacentral:tRNA from 1 species